GCGGCCGUAGUUCAGUUGGAUAGAACGUCAGACUUCGGAUCUGAAUGUCGGGGGUUCGAGUCCUCCCGGCCGCGCCA
rnacentral:tRNA from 2 species